GACGAACGCUGGCGGCGUGCUUAACACAUGCAAGUCGAGCGGUAAGGCCCUUUCGGGGGUACGACGAGCGGCGAACGGGUGAGUAACACGUGGGUGACCUGCCCUCAGCUCUGGGAUAAGCCUGGGAAACCGGGUCUAAUACUGGAUAUGACUCCAUGACGCAUGUUGUGGGGUGGAAAGCCUUGUGCGGCUGAGGAUGGGCCCGCGCCUAUCAGCUUGUUGGGUGGGGUGANCGGCCUACCAAGGCGACGACGGGUAGCCGGCCUGAGAGGGCGACCGGCCACACUGGGACUGAGACACGGCCCAGACUCCUACGGGAGGCAGCAGUGGGGAAUCUUGCGCAACGGGCGAAAGCCUGACGCAGCGACGCCNCGUGAGGGAUGACGGCCUGGUGUAAGUA
rnacentral:rRNA from 1 species